UGGGGAAUAUUGCACAAUGGGCGCAAGCCUGAUGCAGCCAUGCCGCGUGUGUGAAGAAGGCCUUCGGGUUGUAAAGCACUUUCAGCGGGGAGGAAGGCGAUAAGGUUAAUAACCUUGUCGAUAGACGUUACCCGCAGAAGAAGCACCGGCUAACUCCGUGCCAGCAGCCGCGGUAAUACGGAGGGUGCAAGCGUUAAUCGGAAUUACUGGGCGUAAAGCGCACGCAGGCGGUCUGUCAAGUCGGAUGUGAAAUCCCCGGGCUCAACCUGGGAACUGCAUUCGAAACUGGCAGGCUAGAGUCUUGUAGAGGGGGGUAGAAUUCCAGGUGUAGCGGUGAAAUGCGUAGAGAUCUGGAGGAAUACCGGUGGCGAAGGCGGCCCCCUGGACAAAGACUGACGCUCAGGUGCGAAAGCGUGGGGAGCAAACAGG
rnacentral:rRNA from 1 species